rnacentral:rRNA from 1 species
CCUACGGGUGGCAGCAGUGAGGAAUAUUGGUCAAUGGGCGCGAGCCUGAACCAGCCAAGUCGCGUGAGGGAUGACGGUCCUACGGAUUGUAAACCUCUUUUGCCGGGGAGCAAGCGUGCGUUCGUGAACGCACGUCGAGAGUACCCGGAGAAAAAGCAUCGGCUAACUCCGUGCCAGCAGCCGCGGUACUACGGAGGAUGCGAGCGGUAUCCGGAUUUAUUGGGUUUAAAGGGUGCGUAGGCGGGAUGCCAAGUCAGCGGUAAAAAUGCGGUGCUCAACGCCGUCGAGCCGUUGAAACUGGCGUUCUGGAGUGGGCGAGAAGUAUGCGGAAUGCGUGGUGUAGCGGUGAAAUGCAUAGAUAUCACGCAGAACUCCGAUUGCGAAGGCAGCAUACCGGCGCCCUACUGACGCUGAGGCACGAAAGCGUGGGUAUCGAACAGGAUUAGAUACCCCAGUAGUC